rnacentral:rRNA from 1 species
UACGAAGGGGGCUAGCGUUGCUCGGAAUGACUGGGCGUAAAGGGCGCGUAGGCGGUUUGAUUAGUUAGGUGUGAAAUUCCCGGGCUUAACCUGGGGGCUGCACUUAAUACAGUCAGACUGGAGUUCGGAAGAGGGUUGUGGAAUUCCCAGUGUAGAGGUGAAAUUCGUAGAUAUUAGGAAGAACACCGGUGGCGAAGGCGGCCCACUGGAUCGGUACUGACACUGAGGUGCGAAAGCGUGGGGAGCAAACAGG